rfam:Otolemur garnettii contig035218, whole genome shotgun sequence.
GCCAGACAUGGUGGCACGUGCCUAUAGUUCCAGCUACUCGGGAGGCUGAGACAGGAGGAUCGAUUGAGUCCAGGAGUUCUGGGCUGUAGUACGCUAUGCUGAUUAGGUGUCCGCACUAAGUUUGGCAUCAAUAUGGAGACCUCCAGGGAGUAGGGGGCCACCAGGUUGCCUGAAGGGUGAACCAGCCCAGGUCGGAAAGAGAGCAGGUCAAAACUCCUGUGCUGAUCAGUAGUGGGAUUGCACCUGGGAAUAGCCACUACACUCCACACUGGGCAACACAGCGAGACCCUGUCUCUU